GGUUAGCCCAACGAGAUCGGGAUAACACCUGGAAACAGAUGCUAAUACCGGAUAACAACAGAUGAUGCCUAUCAACUGUUUAAAAGAUGGUUCUGCUAUCACUCUUGGAUGGACCUGCGGUGCAUUAGCUAGUUGGUAGGGUAACGGCCUACCAAGGCGAUGAUGCAUAGCCGAGUUGAGAGACUGAUCGGCCACAUUGGGACUGAGACACGGCCCAAACUCCUACGGGAGGCAGCAGAC
rnacentral:rRNA from 1 species